UACGUAGGAAGCGAGCGUUGUUCGGAGUUACUGGGCGUAAAGGGUGUGUAGGCGGUUCUCUAAGUUUGGUGGGAAAUCUCCCGGCUCAACCGGGAGGGUGCGCCGAAAACUGGAGGGCUAGAGUGCGGGAAGGGAGAGUAGAAUUCCUGGUGUAGCGGUGAAAUGCGUAGAUAUCAGGAGGAAUACCGGUGGUGUAGACGGCUCUCUGGACCGCGACUGACGCUGAGACACGAAAGCGUGGGUAGCAAACAGG
rnacentral:rRNA from 1 species